ACACGCAGGUGGACCUGAGCCAGGGAUGGGAUGACGCUGCCCAGAGCCCCCAGCAUGACCUGGGGUCCUCUCCAGACCUCUUCCCACAUCCCCACAGGACCCCUUGUUGGCAUCCAGGACUCUCCAUCCCCUUGCCUUCCCAUCACCUCCCUCAGAGCCUGUCAAUCACUCCCAGAUACUCCCACUGCCCUGCAAGAGAGAUGGCAGGGAAAAGGAGGUCAAGUAAAGAGUAGCCCAGGUGUCCUGGAGCCCUGCUGCUCAGGGAUGGUCCACAGACCAGUGGCAUCAGUAUUGCCUUGGGAGCAUGUAAAAUGCAGAUUCCCAGCUCCUCCCCCCACCAGCGGAGCUGAGUCAAAUCUCAAAAUCUGCGGGCCUGGGAAUCCACAGGCUUACUAGCUCUCCAGGUGAAUUGAGGCUGGUUAAAGUUUAAGAACUCCUGCCCUAGAGGAUCCAGCAGGGCUGUUCCCCAAUAACCACUACUUUCCUCAACUCCAGUGGAUGCCAAUCUGGGUUUUUUAACAGAGAUAGGGCCAUGUGCGCCCCUGCUGGAAGGUACAGAUAAUGAGCAUCCCCUUGAAAAAUGUUGACCGUCAGGUCUGUGGUAUAGAUUCACCCAAAUCUACCCAUCCCUCAUCUGACCUUCAAUAAAUAAACAGUCUUAACUGGAAGUCCAGAAAAAAAAUGGUUGUCCAGGAAAUGGCUUUGCACUAGGUGUUGAGAGACUGAUAUCAAAGCUAACCCCCGCAUUGCGGUACAGUAACUUUGGAAAACCCUGCUCACAGAGCCUCAUUUUCCCUUGUUAACAGAGGCAGACUUCGAGGGCCAACAGGACUGAGUCGACCAUUUUAUGCUGUGUCUCCACCUGGACAGAUGAACAGUUCCAAGGUCACAUGGACCUAGAGGCUGCCCAGGAGUGCCUUCCAGCUUUCAAGUGGUACUUGGCUGCAAGUUUCUCAUCAUCGGUGAAGAUGGCAUGCAGCCCCAGUGGCGGGUGCCCUGAGCAGAAAAGAGAAGACUGUGAAGCCCCCACAGCCUGGAGUAAACGUCUGUCCCACAUCAGACCUGCCCAGUCCAGGGCUGGAAAAGAACUCCGGCCUGGAGAGAAAACAGUUCAAGAAGCCUGACAGAUAUCCAGGGUAAGAAGUCAAGUGCGCAGUUGGAUCAGCUGGUUUGUGGCUGAAAGGAGAGGGCCUAGCUGGAGACAGAACUUGGGAUGCCAGGGGCUCAGAUGAGAUCACAUACGGUAAUGCCAGAUCUGUGUCCAAACCCAUGGGAUUAAAUUGACAUUAAAAUAAAAUUUAAUAAAAUAUUCAGUUCUUCACUU